GAACUACUCCCUCUGUCCCAAAUUUCUUGUCUUAGAUUUGUCUAGAUAUAGAUGUAUCUAAUACUAAAAUGUGACUUGAUACAUCCGUAUGUAGACAAAUAUAAGACAAGAAUUUUGGGACGGAGGGAGUACUUU
rnacentral:pre_miRNA from 1 species